UUCUUCCUCACCAUAUGGAAAUCAUUGAAGAAAUCGACAAGAGGGUUUGUCCAUCCUGUCUUAUUUUCUCUCUUUAUUAUGUGUAUAUUGUUUUACAAUUUUUGAAAAAAGAAGAUGAAAUUCUUGCAGUUUAUAGCAAUGAUACGUUCAACAAAACCAGAACUUGAAAGUAAGCUUUCCAGCAUGCGCAUUAUGGAUAACAAUCCCCAAAAACCAGUUGUGCGGAUGGCAAAUUUAUGCGUGGUGUCUUCACAUGCGGUGAAUGGUGUUGCCCAGUUGCAUAGUGACAUUUUAAAGUCUGAGUUAUUUGCAGACUAUGUCUCUAUAUGGCCUAAGAAGUUCCAGAAUAAAACCAAUGGGAUAACUCCUCGCAGAUGGCUUUGAUUUUGUAGCCCUGAACUCAGCCACAUCAUCACCAAACGGUUAAAAAAUGAUCAAUGGGUGACCAACCUUGACCUACUUGUAGAUCUUCAGAAAACUUCCAAGCUGAGUGGGAAUCAGCCAAGAUGGCUGACAAGCAGCGAUUAGCUCAGUUCAUAUUUCAAGUGACAGGUGUAAGCAUUGACCCAAAUAGCCUCUUUGACUUACAGUUCUAGCGGAUCCAUGAAUAUAAAAGACAGCUGCUAAAUAUUCUGGGUGUGGUCUAUAGGUACAAGAAGUUAAAGAUUGGAUUGGGGUGGCGUUUUUGACGUGCAACAAUGAUGUAAUUUGCUUGAAUGUUCAUUUUGUUUGAUAAGGAUACACAUACUUUGUGGAGUUGCACUAGUUAUUGUUGGAUGUUUGGUAGAAUUGUAUAAGUUAUAAGUUUUAGAUA